UCCGGCUUAUCACCGGCAGUCCCUUUAGAGUGCCCAACUAAAUGAUGGCAACUGAAGGCGAGGGUUGCGCUCGUUGCGGGACUUAACCCAACAUCUCACGACACGAGCUGACGACAGCCAUGCAGCACCUGUGUUGCGGUUCCCUUUCGGGCACCGAGGUAUCUCUACCCCGUUCCGCACAUGUCAAGGGUAGGUAAGGUUCUUCGCGUUGCGUCGAAUUGAACCACAUGCUCCACCGCUUGUGCGGGUCCCCGUCAAUUCCUUUGAGUUUUAACCUUGCGGCCGUACUCCCCAGGCGGUCGACUUCACGCGUUAGCUUCGUUACUGAGAGUGUCAAACCCCCAACAACCAGUCGACAUCGUUUAGGGCGUGGACUAC
rnacentral:misc_RNA from 1 species